GACCCCCACUGAGCUUAAGUCGCCCUUGCCCCUGCCCCCGCCCCCGCCCGGGGUUUGGAUCUACUCCUAGACCAAGGUCAGUGGCCAAGGACCCCUACAGAGGACCUCAGGAUGUGCGCAGCCUGGGCAAGACCGAGGAGAGCAGGAGCCACAGUGGUGACUCCCAGGGAAGAGGUAUGAGGUGGCAGCGGGGAAGCUGGGGAAAGCUUCAUCUCAGUGACGAUAUUUAAGUGGUUUGUGACUUUCCAUGUAAAUUGACAUUUUUUCCCUUCUGUAUCUUCAUUUUGAAUCAACAGCUUGGUUCGUUUGGGUAAGAGACAGCAACCAGAGACUGGAAUACUCACUCGAGAAUCUCCAAGGUCCUGUUCACAGCCAGGGCAUCCCCUAGCGCCUGGGCCCCCCGGGCACCAAUGGAGGCCACCUGCAGGCUAUGCAGAAGAGAAGGGGUCAGUGCGGACAGGCUGGGGCGCUCCGGCCUACACCCCGCCUGGCCCAGCUUCCAUGCGUCCUUGUCCUUCCUUCUCCACCCCUGGACUGAGGGCUGCAAGUGACAACAUAGCGCUGAAAACUGUUGGCCUGUGAUCCGUCCAGGGAACGCCGCGCCUCCGGCCUCCCCUGAUGCCGAGGACAGAGAUCGGGAUGCUACGGAUACGGGAAGCAGAGGUGGUUCCCUGGAGGGUUUGAGGAAAAACACUCCCUGAACCCCUACUUCUUACUUUGUCCCAAUUGCUAACAUUAGGAAAAUUUAACACCUUCUUGGCUGGGAAGCAACACUGAUGUUUGGUAUGAAAGCAGGGCUCAGGGCCGGCUGCCUGGGCGGCCGUGCACGUCAACACUUACUAGAGAGCGGUGAGGGCCGUGUUGGCCUUUAGUGCGCUGGCCAGUGUGGAGGCGCCCUCGUCCCCGAUGGCAUUCUCCUGCAAACUGAACACAGAGCGUGACCCCCGGGCUCACAGGGCACGGGGCUAGCGGCACUCCAUCAUGACGUCCUGAACUUGGACCUUCUAGUUUUCAUUCAGACUGCGCACACCACAGACUAGACUCCCAGGGUUGCCGAGGGGAUAACCGACCCCGCGGCCUCCUAAUUAACAUGCAGAGGGCUCUGGGGUCUCUGUGAACCUGGAUCAUCAGAAGCAAACAAGGGACAAGUGGAAAUACUCUUAAGGGUGAGGACAAAAAAAUGGGGGUGCCAGCCAGAGAAUUCAGUUGAAGCCCUUAGUCCCUGGCCAUUCUUGCUCGUCAGGGUUUUACAUCUUUUUUUUUUUUUUCCUUCCCUUCCACAUUGGAGUAAAGUCAGUUCCUAGCGCAGUAAAUGAUGGAGAGUUUACCUCGGGUGGGCAUUGGGGUGUUGAAGGGAGCAGUUUGCAUUCGCGAUUUUAGCAGACGUGUUAGUGCGUGUGGUGCCCUGGCCUGAUCCUGUCUCAGGUGGGCGGUUGUGACUGAACGAGCCGGCACCGUGGGCCACGUGCUGGGGGGACGGAGGAGCCCGUGGGGUCUCCUGCCCCCGUGUGGUCACGGAGGCCACCGGGAGAAAUAGGUCUGAACUGAAACCUGCAGGAUGAGAGUUGGGGGAGGGGGCCUGGCACAUCCACGGAACCCAAAGAAAUGGCAUCAAGUGGCUGGCGUGUGAAAUGACAGAAGCAGGCCUUUGGGGCCUUUGUUAGAAGCCACACCGAGGGGUGGGUUUCACUCUGCAGGCACUGGGCAGCCAUUGAAGCAUCUCGGGACGGGGACAGAUACACAUUUUGGAAAGAUGUUUGGCCAGCAGUGUGAGCGGAUGGACUGGAUGUGGAGGCUGCUACGGGGACGCAGGGUGAGUGGAGCUGGUGGCCUGACGGUGGCCGCGGGGUAGAGGGAGACGGUGGGGCCUUGGGAGGAGAGUCGCAAGUGGGAAGCGAGAACAGAGACGAUGUUUCUAGCUUGCAGGCCGGGUUGGCCGGGCCCGUUCGUGAGGCGGAACUGAGGACAGACUCGUGGGGAGGCAGCGUGGGCAGUGAUUACGUGGGUCUGGGGCUCAGGAGAGAGGGGUCUAGAUGCGGGGGGCACCGGGACUUUGAAGUCCAAGAGUGUGUGAGAGGACAGCUUCUGGAAUAGAGAGCUCGUUCGAGACAAGAUGGCCUAGAACAGAUCCCUGAGGAGCCCCAGGAUGUCAGUGAGACAGAAGAACCAGCCAGAAAUGGCCUAUCCUGGAUGCCAAGGGAGAAGCUAUGGGCGUGGUCCAAAGCAGGCGAGACUCAGAGGGUUAGAGACAGGGUUCCCAUUCAACUCCGCGGCUCCACUCGCUCGCUCAUGUGCCCAAGAGAAAUGAAAGUGUAUGUCCAGGCAGAAGCUUGUACACGAACGUUCACAGCAGUGUUACAAGAGCCAAACUGUCCAAACCACCCAGAUGUUCCUCGACAGAUGAGGGGAUAAAUGGCAUGUCAAUCUGCACAGCGGAAUAGGAUUCAGCCACAGAAAGGAAUGAAGCCCUGAUUCCUGCUGCAACCUGGGUGAACCUUGGAAACCUGAUACCGAACGAAAGACCUUGGUGGCAAGAGGUCACACGCUGUUCAGUCCCAUGUACGUGAAGUGUCCAGUACAGAUGGUGAAAAUAUUGUGGAACUACAUAGAGGUGAUGAAGGAACAACUGUGAACGUACUAAGUGACACUGAAAUGUAUACUUUAAAGUGGUGAAUUUCACCCCAAUAAAAAUACAUAAAUGAAGAAACAGAUGACAGUACACACUCAACUAAGGAUGGGUACAACCACAUAUGACAAAUCCUAAAAGGAGCACAGCAAACCAUAGGAACAUUCUAGAGAAUGGCACUUUCAGCGUCCUGGAAAACACCUCAGGGAAACAUCCUGACACCAUGGCCUUGGAUUUCCCAUUCGAUAGAAGACAAGAGGUUUUCCUCAUAGAUUAUUUUGCUUUUCCACCUCUAUACAACCGCAUCCUCCUUUUCCUCUAUCCCUGGAUUAGGCUGUACACACAAGGACAAUGAGCACAGAAGAACUGAAACCUGAAACUUGUAUAGACACGAGAUCAUGUGGCAUCCACCUAGACAGGAGCCAGUAUAGCAUGCCUGCCAUUUUGAAUCAUCUCCCACUCCAUGGUUGGCACCUGGGAGAGGGUUUCGUGGGCCCUCUGCUGGUUAUACCGGGAUGUGGAGCAGAUGGCGCGUACCUCAGAAAGGCCAGAGUGCGGUUAAUCUUCAGAGCAUCUGCCAGAGCCUUGGCCCCUUGAGGUCCGAUGGAGUUACCGCGGAGGCUGGCGGGAAGAAGAGAGAGAAAGAACCGUUUUCUUUUAUCCAAUUCCCAGGGAGGAAAGAAAGAAGUUACACUGACCUUUAAAUCUAUGCUCUUUGAAAAUAACGGGGUUUAAGAUUUCAUGUUUUGUGGAGAUCCUUAUUCAGGUGAACAAGUAAGGAAUUUCCCAGUAUGGCCCCCCAGUAUGAUGGGGGGUCAGUGGGGGCUGGGGGGGGGGGAGCAGGAUCUGAUGGACGUGGCUUGGGCCAAGUAUGGAGAGGAGAAUCAUACCAGCUUCAGGGCCAAAAUUCUGGUGCCUCCCUGGGCUGAUCCCCACAACUGAUGAGGAGCCAGGAAUUUGCUCACUCUGCUGUCCUUCCAACCGACCCAGGGGACAGUGUGGUCUGGGGGACUUCACAAGAUGGCUGACAAGCUUUCCCUGUCCCAGUGGUGGAACGUUGGCCUCUGGUGUCCUACUUACUCCAGAGCGGUCAGACUUCUGUUGACCAGGAGGGAUCUGGCCAGAGCUUUGGCCCCUUUGUUACUGAUCUGGUUCUCAGCCAAGCUGCCCAAGGAGAAGGAGAAGAGUGGUUAUUGCAGGUCUACAACUGUCAUGGCCUCUUCCUCAACACCAGGCUUGUGAUCCAAACCUCCCGGUUUCACCAGCAUCAUGAGGGCCUGGACGCAGGUGGAGAUGACGUGAGCCCUGGAGCAGAAUCGCCCAGGCCAGGAAAGCCUCUGAGCCAAGUAAGAGGGAUUGCAUUUCUAUCUCUGGCUGCUAGCCCAAGGGGAUCCUGCUAAUAGCCGGCCCUCAUCCAGUGGUUCCUCUGUGCCUGGCCCGUCCUCACCGCUUGCCUUGAGUUAACCCACUGAAGCUGCUUCAACAACCGGAAGGGGGAAUGUGCAGGAAAGGGUUAACCUUGCCCCCAGUUCCGGAGAGGUGACCUCUGAACGCUUGGAAUGUCCUGCCUGAUAAGUCUGUCUGUGUUUACCUGGGGCCCUUGGGCCGUGCAGUAGCAGCCUGACGUCCCUACCUCCGGAGGGGCUUCCCAUGACCCACCUCCAGUAAAAUGUCUGGACCCAAGCCCGGGUGCGCCUCCCUGGUUGGAACGCUUCAAGUGUGCUGUUGCGCGUGGUGGCUGGGGAGGCGGGCCCUGUCUGCACCACCACAGCGGAAGGACUACUGAAAGCUUGCCCCUGUCUCUCUGGGGCCCGCCUCAUGCACCCUUCCCUCUGCACGUUUAAAUCCGUAUCCUUUUGAUGUCCUGAGCCACAAGUGCAGGUACAACAGCUCUUCUGGGUUCUGUGAGUCCUUCUAGUGAAUCAUUAAACCUUUGGGGGGGUCCCGGAGACCCCAAACUCACAGAUACCGUUUUAACCCCAUGUUUACACUCCUUUGGCACAGAGUUGACUGUACAGGGUCACACAGAGCCCACCACUCGCCACUGUCUUCCGUGACUUCUUUUGGCUCCUGACUCGCUCCGUGUUUGUGUUUGUUUUCUCAGAGAUUAUUCCUGAACCCAGAGGGAGGCUUAAGUGAGGACGAAGAAUUCCUCUCUGGAUCCUGUUCUCCAGACUCCUCUCCCUAUUUCUAACCACCCCCAGGUCACAAGCCCACUCCUCAGUGUUACUGAGACUUGGAAAUGUGAUCACAGGAGAUUUCACAAGCACGAAACUCUAUUUUGCCGUCAGCACACAGACUUGUGUCUCAUCACACUGUUAAAGAUUCAGUGUUUCAAUUUUAUUUUUUUGUACUCGUUUAAAUAAAAGUUCAAAUUUAAAUCCAAAUUUUAAAUUAAAAAAUUUCUAAUUUAAUUUCAAGAGCCAAUCCUGUGCCUGUAAUACUGUUUUGAGGGCAAACAUUGAGAGGAGCUUAGAGAACAUUGUGCCUCGCAGCACUUCGGAACGUUGAGUAUCUGCGGAAAUGCUCCCAUGUCCACCAGAGCACCUGACCCUCACCAUAUCCCUUCCCUCUUCUUACAGGUGAGGGACCUGAGCCUCUGGAACUUUCCGGAAGGGGCAGAAACAAGCAGCCACGUGUUUCCAAGGCACCUCUCCUUGCAAGUGCCUCUGGCCGGUUGAGCAGAGAGGAGGACGGGAAAAUAGCCCUGGACCCCGUGCGACAGGUAGGCACCCCGGGUGGGGUCUCCCGGGUGAGCGUUACCUGAUCCUCUGAAUGCGACAGUCCUUCCCGCUCAGCACGCUGCCCAGCAGCUCCAUCACGGGGUCCUGGAACUGGUUGUUGUCCAGCCUGCAGGCGGCAGAGCGAUAAUGAGUGGUACCACCGCCCGCGGGCGGGUGGAACGAGGCCCCGGCAAAGGGCCGCCCUCAGGGCAGCGGACACACCCAGGCUGGCAUCCCUUCCCUGGCCCACGUUUCCAUUGCCACGCAGCCCCCACCACGAGGUGGCCCGGGGACCCGUGCUGGCACGCCCGCCAGGCUCGAGGUUUUCCCGGGAGGGUAUGCCGGGAGCCUCAGGGUGGUGAGCCCCAGGAUUCCUGCGCAGAGGGCGUCUCCCCGGCAGCCCCGUACAUCACGUGUCCGCGGGACACGGGCUGCUAGCUCUCCUUCUAAGGGUGUGGCAGCUGCUCUCAGGUCCUGACGGCCCUGGUCUUAGAGACACUGAAGUCCAGAGCGGGA